rnacentral:rRNA from 1 species
GGCUUAACACAUGCAAGUCGAACGGUUGUAGCAAUACAGCAGUGGCGGACGGGUGAGUAACGCGUGGGAACGUGCCCUGAGGUACGGAAUAACUGCGGGAAACUGCAGCUAAUACCGUAUGAGCCCCGCAAGGGGGAAAGAUUUAUCGCCUUAGGAGCGGCCCGCGUCGGAUUAGCUAGUUGGUGGGGUAAAGGCUUACCAAGGCUUCGAUCCGUAGCUGGUCUGAGAGGACGAUCAGCCACACUGGGACUGAGACACGGCCCAGACUCCUACGGGAGGCAGCAGUGGGGAAUCUUGCGCAAUGGGGGCAACCCUGACGCAGCCAUGCCGCGUGAAUGAUGAAGGCCUUAGGGUUGUAAAGUUCUUUUGCCCGUGACGAUGAUGACGGUAACGGGAGAAUAAG